rnacentral:rRNA from 1 species
UGCCAGCAGCCGCGGUAAUACAGAGGUGGCAAGCGUUAUUCGGAAUUAUUGGGUGUAAAGGGCAGGUAGGCUGCCUGACAAGUGAGGGGUGAAAUCCUGCGGUUCAAUCGCAGAACUGCCUUUCAAACUAUCAGGCUUGAGUGUAACAGAGGAAAAUGGAAUUCUCGGUGUAAGGGUGAAAUCUGUAGAUAUCGGGAAGAACACCAACGGCGAAGGCAAUUUUCUGGGUUACAACUGACGCUGAGCUGCGAAAGCUAGGGGAGCAAACAGAAUUAGAUACUCUGGUAGUCCUAGCUGUAAACGAUGAGUACUAGGUGUUGGCGCCUUCGGGCGUCGGUGCCGAAGCUAACGCAUUAAGUACUCCACCUGGGGACUACGGUCGCAAGGCUAAAACUCAAAGGAAUUGACGGC